rnacentral:rRNA from 1 species
UACGUAGGGGGCUAGCGUUGUCCGGAUUUAUUGGGCGUAAAGAGCGUGUAGGCGGCCAGGUAGGUCCGUUGUGAAAACUCGAGGCUCAACCUCGAGACGUCGGCGGAAACCAUCUGGCUAGAGUCCGGAAGAGGAGAGUGGAAUUCCUGGUGUAGCGGUGAAAUGCGCAGAUAUCAGGAAGAACACCAAUGGCGAAGGCAGCUCUCUGGGACGGUACUGACGCUGAGACGCGAAAGCGUGGGGAGCGAACAGG